CCUACGGGAGGCAGCAGUGGGGAAUAUUGCACAAUGGGCGAAAGCCUGAUGCAGCAACGCCGCGUGAGUGAUGAAGGCCUUCGGGUCGUAAAACUCUGUCCUCAAGGAAGAUAAUGACGGUACUUGAGGAGGAAGCCCCGGCUAACUACGUGCCAGCAGCCGCGGUAAUACGUAGGGGGCUAGCGUUAUCCGGAUUUACUGGGCGUAAAGGGUGCGUAGGUGGUUUUUUAAGUCAGGAGUGAAAGGCUACGGCUCAACCGUAGUAAGCUCUUGAAACUGGAAAACUUGAGUGCAGGAGAGGAAAGUGGAAUUCCUAGUGUAGCGGUGAAAUGCGUAGAUAUUAGGAGGAACACCAGUAGCGAAGGCGGCUUUCUGGACUGUAACUGACACUGAGGCACGAAAGCGUGGGGAGCAAACA
rnacentral:rRNA from 1 species